CUUCUUCUCAUCACUCCUUUACAUGCCUUCCUUCUUUUCCACAGGUGGGCUCUGAUUAACUUAAGCUGAUCAACAAAGCCCUUGCAUCUGACUACAGUGAUUGCUUCAGGAUGAGCACUUGAUUCCAUUAAGGCCAAAGAGACAUGAGGAAGUAUUAAAGCUCAUCUAGAUUUCAGCGUGGCUAGUGUCAUCUUCUACAACUCCCUGGAUGCCUCCUUGGCUUCGGCGCCUGGAAAUCCUCCUUUCUUUUCUUGUCCAGAGCUCUCUGUUCAAUGCCACGUGCCUCCGGUGCAUUCUCAAGACAGGUGCCCUGCUCUGAGCUGCUCUAUGGAGUGGCCUAUGUGGCAGGAACUGAAGAUAAUCUUCAACUGCCAGCCAGCAAAAAAUGGAGGUCCUCAGUCCAACAUCCCACAAGGAACCGAAUUCUACCAACAGCCAUGUGAAUGAGACUGCAGUCUUGGUCAGAAAUGGGAUUGCAGCUUUCCGAAGAGACUCUGGAAUAGAGGACCCAACAAACGGAUGCCUGGACUCCUGACCCAAACCCACAGUAACGGAAUCAGGACGUGCUUGCCCCUGAAGGUUAAAGCUGAUGUUUGCCCCCCAAGGAAACUUCUUUCCAUCAAAGCAUCUCUCACCAUCAUCCCUGGCCUACAGAGGGCAUCCGCUUUUCAAGAAUGCCAACUCCUCUCUCACCAAUGUGUGUUUUUUCUGGAGCACAUCAAGGAUUGUGUGGCAUCUGACUUCUCCUGCACAGGCCACCAUUGAGACUCACUUUUAGACGGCCAAGCAAGAAGCGUAAACCUCUUCAUAAUCUUGCUAUUCUUUUGGUUUUGCUUCCCAUGGAAUGGCCUUACUGUUCAAAUUCAGAUGCACUAGGCAAGUUCAGAAGACAAGAGUGAAGACGAGAAGCCAACAGCCUCACACUGAGGGCGAUUCUUUCUGCAGCUCCCCACUGCACAAGCAAGCUUGGUAUUCAUCAAUAUGACAUGGUCUGGAAGUUUUCCUAUAUAUUCAUCAGCUUGGGUUACCAAACAAAGUACAAACUACUCAGUGGCUUUAGCAAUAUAAAUUUACUUUCUCAGAGUUCUGGGGGCUGGAUCCAGGUGCAGCAUGGUUGAGUUCUGGUGAGGCCUCUCUUCCUGACUUGCAGACAGCUACCUUCCCACCGUGUGCACGCAUGACCUUUCCUCGGGACUCGCAUGCAGAGAGAGAGCUCCAGUAUCUCUUCUUUUUGCACGGGCACCAGUUCUGUCGGAUUAGGGCUUCACCCUUAUGACCUCAUUUAACCUUAGUCCUCCUUAAAGCCCCUAUCUCCGGUAUAGUCACAUGUGGGAUUAGGGCUUCAACAUAUGAAUUUAGGGAGAAGGAAGACAACUCAGUCUCUAGCAUCCUGGGAUCUAGAUACUGGAGGAUACAAUCUGCAUCUGACAAAAAUCUCAGGGUUCUAGAAAACAUUUCAUGUUUGAAAAUGGUUGCCAGAAAUAUUUAAAAUUCUGAGUAAGUGGAAUUUAAAGGGAAAGACUUUAUCUUUAGAUUCUAAGCUCCAGGAGGGCAGGGACUGUGCCUCAGUAUUUCAGCACAGAGCACAGCAGCAGGCCCUGAUAAACGUGAAUUCAGUAAAGACAGCCCUUCCUGAAGAUAGAAGACUAGUAGUUUGCAGGACUGUUACUGUAUCGCCUUCACUUGGCCCCUGUUAGGAACCCAGAGGGAGGGUAAGAGGGCUCCUGUCACCACUGAAAAUUGACUAGCCUGGAAUUUUCCAGAGGUUUCCAGAAUUUUCCCAGUUUCCUGCUGCCCCUUCCCUAUUCUGGUUCUGCUUCUGAGGACACAGCUGCCAGCUUUCGGCUCUGAUGCUCUGUUUGCACUGUCCUGAGAGAAAUAAAAUUUUCCACUCAGGAUCUAGUAAAAUAAAAACAUUUUAAACAAAAUGUAGUACAUAUACAUAUGCACACAAGAACAGUUAGUUUAAAAGCAGCCUAGAAAAACCUUUUGUUCUCAUGUUAUUUAGGAUUUCUGCCGUCGCGGAUAAUUUUUUUUAACAGUUUUGCUCUGGGGCUUAUCUGCUUUUUCUCUUUUCUAAGUUUUAAAUUUCAGAUCCAGUUGUAGUUUGCUGCUGAGUUGAAGCCUCUGUAAUUAUUUCUUUAAAUUUUUAAGAAGAGGACCAGGUGUGAUCGUUUCAGAACAGCACACACUGUCAUGUGUUGUAAUGUGGCUUACUCUGGGGAGGCUCUGUUUAUCAGUCCUGCCUCUGCUAUCUACCAGCUCUGUGGCUCUGGACUAGUUCAUCUUUCUUAGCCUCCUAAAGAUGUAGGAUAUGUGAAAUAAUAUGUGGAGAGUACCUGUCGUGCACGGCCUGUCCAUAGUAAAUGUGCUGAAAUAAUAACUGUUAUAAAUAUCCCUCCCUUUUGCAAAUUGUUCAGUGUUCUGAAUACAGAACUCAAAUGUCUUCAGGGGUCAGGAAAAUGAUUCAAAUGUGUAAAGCUACCUGGGAUGUGUAAAGCUACUAGGCAACAGGGAAUGGAAAAAACUGUGAUGAAUAGGAGGGUGCAUGCUCUGCUAAAAGAAAACCUAGGCCGGGUACGGUGGCUCAUGCCUAUAAUCCCAGCACUUUGGGAGGCUGAGGCAGGUGGAUCACCUGAGGUCAGGAGUUCCAGACCAGCCUGGCCAACAUGGCAAAACCCCGUCUCUACUAAAAAUACAAAAAGUUAGCUGGGCAUGGUGGCAGGUGCCUGUAAUCCUAGCCACUCGGGAGGCUGAGGCAGGAGAAUCGCUUGAACUCAGGAGGCGGAGGUUGCAGUGAGCCGAGAUCGCAACACUGCACUCAGCCUUGGCAACAAGAGUGAAACUCCAUCUCAAAAAAAAAAAAAAAAAAGAAAAAAGAAAAUCUAGCUCAAAUAUUAUACAUAAAAGGACGGAAGGGAGAGAGGGAGCAAGGGAGGAAAGAAGACAACACUGUACAUAGCUCCUACCUCGACUUGGCCCUGGAGCCACCAGUUUGCAGCCCUUACUCUGAUUUAAAGUAGAAUAUAUUUUGGUCCAGGCGUGGUGGCUCAUGCCUGUAAUCCCAACACUUUGGGAGGCCAAGGUGGGAGGAUCACUUGAGCCCAGGAGGUUGAGACUAGCUUGGGCAAUAUAGUGAGGCCUUGACUCUAAUUAAAAAAAAAAAGUAGAAUAUAUGUCAAGGAGCUGAAUGAGCUGUGUUUGGGAAAUAUAUCCCAGGUCUUAACCCUCAGUUUUCAACUACUAGUAACAAAGGAAACUGCCUAUUGAAUUUCUAACCAAAGAGGAGUUAUGUCACUCCAAGUACUUCGGGGUAUAGGAUUCAUCUACCCCAAUACCAGUGUGAAUGAGACCCUCAAUAAUUUUCAAUAAUUUAUUAACAAUGACAACAAUAUAACACCAAUUCUAUCUUUAUGUAAUGUUGUUUAUUCUCAGGAUGAGGCUGGAUUUUGAGACAGGCAUUUCCUGGUAAUUGAACAGCAUGAUAUUGGUUUUAAAGGUGAGACUAAGAGUUGUUUUGUUAGAGACUCUCUGGGGACAAGCCUGGAACACUCUAAGGGGUGCAGAUGGUGUUCAUUAAUAUUAUUUGUAAUCCACAAACAUUUAUACAUAUUCUUCAGAGAAGCUGUGUUCAGGUUUUUCUUAUGCAAAAGCCUAAUAAGGAGAACACAGUGCUGUAUGAUUAGAUGAGGAUGUUAAAGUAUUUACCUUCCUUUCCAAAAUCUCUUUCCUAUAGCACCAAAAAUUGCCAUGUUAUUUGGACUUUUGAGAUAAGGACAUUGGACACUUCUAAAACAUAACCUCCCAGGCAAUCUGGGAAGAGAUAGAGAUGGUACAUUGAGCUGUUAUCUUGCACUUACACCAUUCUCCAAUUAGUUUAUUAAAUUCCAGUAACCAAGCUGCUGAUCAAAGGAACGCAACAAGAAAGAAGUAAUUUUUUU